rnacentral:rRNA from 1 species
UACGAAGUGGGCUAGCGUUGUUCGGAAUCACUGGGCGUAAAGCGCACGUAGGCGGAUCUUUAAGUCAGGGGUGAAAUCCCGAGGCUCAACCUCGGAACUGCCUUUGAUACUGGGGAUCUCGAGUCCGGGAGAGGUGAGUGGAACUGCGAGUGUAGAGGUGAAAUUCGUAGAUAUUCGCAAGAACACCAGUGGCGAAGGCGGCUCACUGGCCCGGAACUGACGCUGAGGUGCGAAAGCGUGGGGAGCAAACAGG